CCUACGGGAGGCAGCAGUGAGGAAUAUUGGUCAAUGGACGAGAGUCUGAACCAGCCAAGUAGCGUGAAGGAUGACUGCCCUAUGGGUUGUAAACUUCUUUUAUAUGGGAAUAAAAUGUUCCACGUGUGGGAUUUUGUAGUUACCAUAUGAAUAAGGAUCGGCUAACUCCGUGCCAGCAGCCGCGGUAAUACGGAGGAUCCGAGCGUUAUCCGGAUUUAUUGGGUUUAAAGGGAGCGUAGGUGGAUUGUUAAGUCAGUUGUGAAAGUUUGCGGCUCAACCGUAAAAUUGCAGUUGAAACUGGCAGUCUUGAGUACAGUAGAGGUGGGCGGAAUUCGUGGUGUAGCGGUGAAAUGCUUAGAUAUCACGAAGAACUCCGAUUGCGAAGGCAGUUCACUGGACUGCAACUGACACUGAGGCUCGAAAGUGUGGGUAUCAAACAGGAUUAGAUACCCCAGUAGUC
rnacentral:rRNA from 1 species